rnacentral:misc_RNA from 1 species
AGCAAUCGUCGUUCAAUGACAUAUUCGAUUUAAUCCCACACGCACCAACUUUGAACCCCGACAAGAAUGAUUGUUUAGGCAAUGAAUAUGAGAGCAAGAAUAGCUCGUCACUGGACUACUUUUCAAACACACCAACGAAUCACCUAUACACAGGUGGUCACAAGAAUGGUGACAGCUUUUCACCAAGGAACUAUGAGAGCUUGCAACUAUGCAC